rnacentral:rRNA from 1 species
AUUGAACGCUGGCGGCAGGCCUAACACAUGCAAGUCGAACGAGUGGCGGACGGGUGAGUGAUGUCUGGGAAACUGCCUGAUGGCGGGGGAUAACUACUGGAAACUGUAGCUAAUACCGCAUACCAUCGUAUGUGCCCAGAUGGGAUUAGCUAGUAGGUGGGGAAAAGGCUCACCGAGGCGACGAUCCCUAGCUGGUCUGGGAGGAUGACGAGCAAAACUGGAAGUGAGACACGGCCAAGCCCCCUCCGGGAGGCAGCAGUGGGGAACAUUGCAAAAGGGGGGCAAGCCGGACGCAGCAAGGCCGCGGGUAGGAAGAAGGCCUCAGGGUUGUAAAGUAUUUUGAGCGGGGAGGCGGUACUCGAAGAAGAAGCACCGGCUAACUCCGUGCCAGCAGCCGCGGUAAUAC